UACGUAGGGUGCAAGCGUUGUCCGGAAUUAUUGGGCGUAAAGAGCUCGUAGGCGGUCUGUCGCGUCAGCUGUGAAAGCCCCGGGCUCAACCUGGGAACUGCAGUUGAUACUGUCCGACUAGAGUACGAGAGAGGGAGGUAGAAUUCCAUGUGUAGCGGUGAAAUGCGUAGAUAUAUGGAGGAAUACCAGUGGCGAAGGCGGCCUCCUGGCUCGAUACUGACGCUGAGGUGCGAAAGCGUGGGGAUCAAACAGG
rnacentral:rRNA from 1 species